UUGAAGAGAGAGUAAACAGUGCGUGAAGCCGAUCAGAGGUAAACGGGUGGAGUUGAACUGCGAGCUCUGUGAAUUCAGCUGGCGAGUUUGGUUGAGCUUGGUCAAAUCGGUCGUACACUGUAGUCUGUGUAGCAGCAGGCCUUUUCCCCUUUGGGGUUGAGGUGCGCGAUGCACUCAUCAUGUGAUGCGCGCUGCAGUGUUCGUCGGUCCGGCUCGCCAGUGCAUUUUUGCAGAGUGGUCACCACGACCGGCACUGCUGUCGUUCUGUUUUGGUUAAACCGGUUUCGCAUUGUCCUUGUGGCUCUGCUUGAUCGGGAUGGCAGGUAGCUCGUUGGUCAGCUUUCGCUGGUCUUCGAGUGUAAUCAGCUGACCUUGACAGUUCUGUGCAGUGUGUCGGGGACUGCGGCUUUAGUGCGUGUACGCGUGCUAAGUUGGCCGGCUUGCCUGGGAUCUGGUUAUUUUGUAGCCUGUGAAUGCAGGCCUAAUGAUGCCCCGGGUUUGUUCGGUUGACGGUUGCGUGUGUGGCACGAUUUCUGGGCCGAUAGUCUGUGGUGUAGUGGUAGACUAUCCACCUGACCCGUCUUGAAACACGGACCAAGGAGAGUAACAUGUGCGCGAGUCAUUGGGCGUUACGAAACCCAAAGGCGAAGUGAAAGUAAAGGUUUGGCUUGUCCAGACUGAGGUGAGAUCCUGCCGUUUCUCAUGCGCGGUACUACCAAGCAUCGAGCGGUAGGCGCAUCACCGGCCCGUCCCAUGACACUUGUCAUUAGACAUACCCAGUC
rnacentral:rRNA from 1 species